AGAUCAGCUUCGAUGAAAGUCCUGUCAGUGGGAGCAGCGCUGGAGGAGCAGAACAUUUAGUGACGAGUCUGAUUCGAGCAGCCAGCUGCCAGUCGGACAGCAGUGGUUUUCUAGAAGAACCUUUCAUCCCCUCCAGGAGCAAAGCCACCAAGGCUCAGUCUGGUGUGCCAGCAGGGGGCAGUGAGGAGCUGAGGUGGUGUCCUUCAGCCUAUCAGGUGUCCGUCCCGUCGACCCCCCCGUCUCUCCACUCCUCUGAUGGAGAUGGAGGUCUGCCUCCGUCCCUCCGUCCUUCACUGCAUGCUGGGACAGACUUGGGGUCGUCUCAGGAGCCGUCCUGCCCGUCCAGCCAGAGACAGGCGGUUUGUUCCGGUCUACCUCACUGCUCUUCACCUCAGUCCCAGAGUAUCAGUGAGACCCGGGCAGAACGUCUUCCCUCCUUUACCGCCACUCCUCCACUCACCUCCACCGUCGUGGAAAAGGCCUCGGUGUCGGGAGAGUUCAGGAAGGCUGAGGAUGCCG